UACGUAGGGUGCAAGCGUUGUCCGGAAUUAUUGGGCGUAAAGCGCUACUUGUGAGCGGCACGUCAAGUCGCGUGUGAAAUCCCCAGGCUUAACCUGGGAAGUGCGCGCGAAACUGACGAGCUUGAGUGCCGGAGAGGGUCGCGGAAUUCCCGGUGUAGAGGUGAAAUUCGUAGAUAUCGGGAGGAACACCAGUGGCGAAGGCGGCGACCUGGACGGACACUGACGCUGAGACGCGAAAGCGUGGGGAGCAAACAGG
rnacentral:rRNA from 1 species